GGUGGUCAAAGCAAAACGGGAAACACCGAGCAGAUCGAUCCGUCACGAAUGAACCAUAUCGCUUCCGCCUCACCUUCAGCAGCAGCAGCAGCAGCGCACAGAUCCUCCUUUGUGCAAAGUGGAAGAAAAAGGCUGUGUGGAGAAGUGGAGCAGAACAGAGCCAGUUCCUCCUGUUACCUUAAAAAAAAA